rnacentral:rRNA from 1 species
AUGGCGGCGCUGCCCAUCACAUACUUAGGCCUCCCGAUCACCACCGGCAAGCUUAGACUAGUGCACCUGCAGUUCAUCUUAGAUAGGAUUCGGGCACGGCUUGCGGGCUGGAAGGGCAGGCUGCUGCCAAUCGCGGGCCGACGCGUGCUGGUAAGGUGUGUGCUCUCGGCCAUGCCCACCUUCGCCCUCACCGUCCUUCGGGCUCCGAAGAAGUUCUUCAAAGACAUCGACAAGGCCAGGAGGCGCUUCCUUUGGGCGCACGACAACGAGAUCUCUGGCGGCAAAUGCAAGGUAGGCUGG